GGGCCCAUAGCAUAACGGUUAAUGCAUCCGACUCAUAAUCGGCAGACUCUUGGUUCAAAUCCAAGUGGGCCCACCA
rnacentral:tRNA from 1 species